UACGUAGGGUGCGAGCGUUAAUCGGAAUUACUGGGCGUAAAGCGUGCGCAGGCGGUUUUGCAAGCCGGAUGUGAAAUCCCCGGGCUCAACCUGGGAAUGGCAUUCGGGACUGCAAGGCUGGAGUGCGGCAGAGGAGACUGGAAUUCCUGGUGUAGCAGUGAAAUGCGUAGAUAUCAGGAGGAAUACCGAUGGCGAAGGCAGGUCUCUGGGCUGACACUGACGCUCAUGCACGAAAGCGUGGG
rnacentral:rRNA from 1 species